rnacentral:rRNA from 1 species
AUUGAACGCUGGCGGCAUGCUUUACACAUGCAAGUCGAACGGCAGCGCGGGCUUCGGCCUGGCUGCGAGUGGCGAACGGGUGAGUAAUGCAUCGGAACGUGCCCAGCAGUGGGGGAUAGCCCGGCGAAAGCCGGAUUAAUACCGCAUACGACCUGAGGGUGAAAGCGGGGGACCGAUAGGCCUCGUGCUAUUGGAGCGGCCGAUGUCGGAUUAGCUAGUUGGUGGGGUAAAGGCUUACCAAGGCGACGAUCCGUAGCUGGUCUGAGAGGACGACCAGCCACACUGGGACUGAGACACGGCCCAGACUCCUACGGGAAGCAGCAGUGGGGAAUUUUGGACAAUGGGGGCAACCCUGAUCCAGCCAUGCCGCGUGCGGGAAGAAGGCCUUCGGGUUGUAAACCGCUUUUGUUCGGGAAGAAAUCCUCUGGGCUAAUACCCCGGGGGGAUGACGGUACCGGAAGAAUAAGCACCGGCUAACUACGUG